rnacentral:lncRNA from 1 species
GCUGUAUAUCUAGAUUCUAGACUUGUAUCUCAACACCCCAUUAUGCAGUGAACAGUUGGGCACAGCUUGAGAAUCAAUGGCCAAUUUGGAAAUGAAAUCUAGAGCAUGAGCAUCUUAUUGAUAACCAGCCACCACUUCGUUGAUCCACUGCAACACACAAGUAGAUAUAGCAGCACAGCUAGCAGAGUGCAAGGAUUUUCUGGAUAGUGCAUCAGCCACUCGAUUAUCCACACCCGUUUUAUACACAAUCUUAUUCUGAAGGCCUAGCAGCUUAGUGAACACCUUCUGCUGCCAGUGAGUAUGUAAGCGUUGGUCACUUAACUGAAUCAGACUUCUAGUCAAUGUAUAUUGUGAAUUCCCC